rnacentral:rRNA from 1 species
GGUUAAGCGACUAAGCGUACACGGUGGAUGCCUUGGCAGUCAGAGGCGAUGAAGGACGUGCUAAUCUGCGAUAAGCGUCGGUAAGGUGAUAUGAACCGUUAUAACCGGCGAUUUCCGAAUGGGGAAACCCAGUGUGUUUCGACACACUAUCAUUAACUGA